rnacentral:misc_RNA from 1 species
GGGAUCUUUGUUUCCCAAGUACAUGUUUUUGCAAAUUAACAAAUUCACUGUGUGCAAGAAUUGACUGAAAUGUGGUUCAAGGUGACCUAUCCUUCUUAGAUUUCCUCUUGGUGUGGAGAUUUCAUGAUUAUUCAUUUUCUUUUGUUGUCUUACAAUGAAAUUUGUUGUUGUAUGUUAGUUUUCUUCUGAAUUGUUCAUAGUGUUUUUAGCCUUGGAGAUUUGCCAAGACCAAAAAUCUUACUUGUAAUGGAUUAUGGUGCUAGAAGCUGUGUGAAAAUGUUUAAUAGCUUUGUGUUUUGUUUCAGCAUUAUGAAAAGGUUGGAGUC